UAGAAUAUCCUGAUGGUAGAACGCAAAAAGGGAACGUGUCAACCUCACGUAUGCAGCUGAUUCUCUCAAUCUGGUAAAUUUGAUAGGCCAAAAGCAGAACAGGUAGUACCUUUAAGCUUCCCACAUACAAGUGCCAGAUAGUUCCUGCUGCUCUUAUUUGGAGAUAUUAAAAUUGUUUAGGGAAAGUGCUUACAACCACUGAGUCUCUUCCAAAAACUGGUGACAAGUACAGAGAGAGAUGGAAUCCAGAAAAAAAUGAUGUGAGCAGUUACCAAGUGCCUUCGCUGAUUUAACUUCAUCCUCCAGAAGUUCAUGUCUUCUUGGUAAUUGGAGUGUCUGAUGUGCAGUAUCUGUGUCACUGUGUUCCGCUAGAGGGAACAGCUGUGAUGUGUGGGGGAAAAGAAACCA